CUGAUGAGCAUAUGCACUGUUGCUUUUCUCUGUGAAUCUCUGUGUGUAUUUGGAAGAGAGAGAAAAGCUGAUGCCCUGUUGAUCCACUGAUGAUCUUUCAUUGUUACAGGUGCCGUGAGCAGCGUGAAUCAGCACUGCCAUGACUACGCUGACUGCUCUGCUGAGCAGCACCUGUGAGAAACAGAGAGAGGAAAACACAAGCACGUGGCACAACCUGACAGAUGGGCAGAGGAGACUGUCACAAUCCUGCCGCAAACAAAAAUAAAACGAGACCAAAGUAGCAGGAUCAUGACAUAAACACUUGAUAAAGGGUGUCAGGACAAACCAGGAGAGGCUCAACAAAGGCAAGCGGAGCAGGAGAGGCUUGAGGGGUGGAGCCAUGGAAGGCAGAGCUGUGGGAGGCUCGAGGGGCGGAACCAAGGAAGGCAGAGCCGUGAGAGGCUCGACCAGAGCUGGCAGAGACUGGGGAACGACCUCCGUGUUCGUGAGCAUGAGCAGAGACUGGGUAGAAGGUGUCCUUUUCCUUCUCCGUGUCUGGAUAGCUGGGAGCAUAGUUACGGGAGCGGGCGAGGCUACAGGCAUGAGUGCUGGCUCGUUGGCCGUGGCAGGCGUGAGUGCUGGCUUAUUGGCCAUGGCAGGCAUGGAUCAAGGAGCCGUGGCAGGCGUGGAGCAAGGAGCCGUGGCAGGAUCUGGACAGCCGCUAGGUCCAUGCUGGGGGUCGCCGCAGCAGACCAUCCGUGAGCAGGAUAUUUGACUUGGCACAGGUUUUGUGCCAGAUGCCCUUACUGCCACAACAAUUCAGGUGCAGGUGUGUUUCCUCAAUGCCUCCUCCUCGUCACACCGGAGCACCCAGAGGAAACCCACAUGAACACAAGGAGAACUUUGAGCCCAGUUGAGCCGGGACUUGAACCUGGGACCUUCUUGCUGAAAAGUUUUUGGUUGUAAAUGCAAUGACAGUUGCAGCUUCCCGGUCACAAGGAAGGCGGGGAAAGCCUACCAGCAGAAAGGGGGACGCACGUCAUGCCGGGGGCAAAGGAGGAAGGAGUGUGAUGAGGAGGAUGGCGGGGCCGGGUCGUGACUACGCAUGCCCAGCCCUCAACUGGGCUAAUCAGCCGAGGAGAGGGAUAAGGGCAGCCGGGUGCAUCCACGCACAACUCACUACGUCCCUCACCGAGAGUGAGAACCACAUUAUAGCGAUCAUGAGGAGGUUACCCCAUAAGACUCUACCCUCCCUAGCAACCAGUCCAAUUUGAUUGCUUAGGAGACCUGGCUGUAGUCACUCAACCUGCCCUGGCAAACUCAUGACUCCAGGGGUGGUAGUCAGCGUUAAUAAAUCACUGAGCUACCCAGGCCCCACCCGUCAAAUCUUAA